AAUGUAACUUAAUAACUUACUAUAUCGACAGAAGUCACUGCUGUGUAUCAAACAACCACAUUAGAGUCUAAUUCAGAGUGAUGUCAUUGCAUCUGCUCAUUGGAAUAAAAAAACAAGCAAGGAACUCAAGAGAACAGUUACAGCAAAAAGGCUGACUGGAAAUGGGUUUGAAUGUAACGAAGCUAAAGCGAUGAUCCAGGACAGGAACCCAAGACCAGUUUCCUCAACAUCUCUUCAAACAAGUUUCACGAAGCUACAGUCUUGAUAUGGCAAGAAUAUCAUUUCAAAGGUGCUGAAUAAUGGAUGAACCAACAGCAGCACAAGCCUGGUAUUGUUUUUGACUCUUUUUUACACAAUGAAAACUGGAUAUUUCACUUUUUUUUUCAACAGAUGAUCAAUCCAGUUUGUUUCAAAAUACAUUCCAGCAUUGUUAAUGUAAUUUCAAUUUUGUACAUUUUUGAACUAUUCCCAUUGUAUGAAAAUGAUCGACAUCAAGUUUCUGUAGCUGACAUUGAACACUUACGACAGAGAAAUUUCACUGAUAAUCUGCUGUUGAAAUACAUUCUUAAAGUUGAAUAAUGGGCACUUCAUCCUCCCUUUAAAUUAUGCUGAAGCUGACCUGUUUAUGCUUGGUGUUAACAAUUGGAAUCCCCAUUGUCCCUCAU